rnacentral:tRNA from 1 species
GAUUAAAGAGCUUGAUAAAGCGUACAACUUUUAAUUGUGAGAAAUCUUAUAGAUUUUAAUCA